UGACGGUACCUGACUAAGAAGCCCCGGCUAACUACGUGCCAGCAGCCGCGGUAAUACGUAGGGGGCAAGCGUUAUCCGGAUUUACUGGGUGUAAAGGGAGCGUAGACGGCGAUGCAAGCCAGAAGUGAAAGCCCGGGGCUCAACCUCGGGACUGCUUUUGGAACUGCAUUGCUAGAGUCUCGGAGAGGCAAGCGGAAUUCCUAGUGUAGCGGUGAAAUGCGUAGAUAUUAGGAGGAACACCAGUGGCGAAGGCGGCUUGCUGGACGAGUACUGACGUUCAGGCUCGAAAGCGUGGGGAGCAAACAGGAUUAGAUACCCUG
rnacentral:rRNA from 1 species